UUGCUUCAGCAGCACAUAUACUAAAAUUUAAGUGAUACAGAGAACAGCAUACCCCUUUUACAAGAAAGAAAUUAUAUGCAUUCAUGAAGGAUUCCAUAUUUUU